CUCCAGUGAAAUGUUCAUUCCCUAUACAGCCCGCCCAAGGUAGAUAACUCCAGUGUAAUGUUCAUUCCCUAUACAGCCCGCCCAAGGUAGAUAACUCCAGUGUAAUGUUCAUUCCCUAUACAGCCCACCCAAGGUAGAUAACUCCAGUGUAAUGUUCCUAUACAGCCCACCCAAGGUAGAUAACUCCAGUGUAAUGUUCAUUACCUAUACAGCCCACCCAAGGUAGAUAACUCCAGUGUAAUGUUCAUUACCUAUACAGCCCGCCCAAGGUAGAUAACUCCAGUGAAAUGUUCAUUCCCUAUACAGCCCACCCAAGGUAGAUAACUCCAGUGUAAUGUUCAUUACCUAUACAGCCCGCCCAAGGUAGAUAACUCCAGUGAAAUUUUCCUAUACAGACCGCCCAAGGUAGAUAACUCCAGUGUAAUGUUCAUUCCCUAUACAGCCCGCCCAAGGUAGAUAACUCCAGUGAAAUUUUCCUAUACAGCCCGCCCAAGGUAGAUAACUCCAGUGUUAUGUUCAUUCCCUAUACAGCCCACCCAAGGUAGAUAACUCCAUUGAAAUGUUCAUUCCCUUAUACAGCCCACCCAAGGUAGAUAACUCCAGUGUAAUGUUCCUAUACAGCCCACCCAAGGUAGACAACUCCAGUGAAAUGUUCAUUCCCUAUACAACCCACCCAAGGAAGACAACUCCAGUGAAAUGUUCCUAUACAGCCCACCCAAGGUAGAUAACUCCAGUGAAAUGUUCCUAUACAGCCCACCCAAGGUAGAUAACUCCAGUGAAAUGUUCCUAUACAGCCCGCCCAAGGUAGAUAACUCCAGUGUAAUGUUCCUAUACAGCCCACCCAAGGUAGAUAACUCCAGUGUAAUGUUCAUUCCCUAUACAGCCCACCCAAGGUAGAUAACUCCAGUGUAAUGUUCCUAUACAGCCCGCCCAAGGUAGAUAACUCCAGUGUAAUGUUCAUUACCUAUACAGCCCGCCCAAGGUAGAUAACUCCAGUGUAAUGUUCAUUACCUAUACAGCCCGCCCAAGGUAGAUAACUCCAGUGUAAUGUUCCUAUACAGCCCACCCAAGGUAGAUAACUCCAGUGUAAUGUUCCUAUACAGCCCACCCAAGGUAGAUAACUCCAGUGAAAUGUUCCUAUACAGCCCGCCCAAGGUAGAUAACUCCAGUGUAAUGUUCCUAUACAGCCCGCCCAAGGUAGACAACUCCAGUGAAAUGUUCCUAUACAGCCCACCCAAGGUAGAUAACUCCAGUGUUAUGUUCAUUCCCUAUACAGCCCACCCAAGGUAGAUAACUCCAUUGAAAUGUUCAUUCCCUAUACAGCCCGCCCAAGGUAGAUAACUCCAGUGAAAUGUUCAUUCCCUAUACAGCCCGCCCAAGGUAGAUAACUCCAGUGAAAUGUUCCUAUACAGCCCGCCC